rnacentral:rRNA from 1 species
CACACGACCGUACCGCAAACCGACACUGGUGCGCGAGAUGAGUAUUCUAAGGCGCUUGAGAGAACUCAGGAGAAGGAACUCGGCAAAUUGACACCGUAACUUCGGAAGAAGGUGUGCCUUUAGUAGGUGAAGUCCCUCGCGGAUGGAGCCCAAUGAGGUUGCAAAGAAUCGGUGGCUGCGACUGUUUAUUAAAAACACAGCACUCUGCAAACACGAAAGUGGACGUAUAGGGUGUGACGCCUGCCCGGUGCUGGAAGAUUAAAUGAUGGGGUGCAAGCUCUUGAUUGAAGUCCCAGUAAACGGCGGCCGUAACGAUAACGGUCCUAAGGUAGCGAAAUUCCUUGUCGGGUAAGUUCCGACCUGCACGAAUGGCGUAACGAUGGCCACACUGUCUCCUCCUGAGACUCAGCGAAGUUGAAAUGUUUGUGAUGAUGCAAUCUCCCCGCGGAAAGACGGAAAGACCCCAUGAACCUUUACUGUAGCUUUGUAUUGGACUUUGAACAGAUCUGUGUAGGAUAGGUGGGAGGCUUUGAAGCAGGGUCGCUAGAUCUUGUGGAGCCAACGUUGAAAUACCACCCUGGUGUGUUUGAGGUUCUAACCUAGGCCCGUAAUCCGGGUUGGGGACAGUGCAUGGUAGGCAGUUUGACUGGGGCGGUCUCCUCCCAAAGUGUAACGGAGGAGUUCGAAGGUACGCUAGUUACGGUCGGACAUCGUGACGAUAGUGCAAUGGCAUAAGCGUGCUUAACUGCGAGACUGACAAGUCGAGCAGAUGCGAAAGCAGGACAUAGUGAUCCGGUGGUUCUGUAUGGAAGGGCCAUCGCUCAACGCAUAAAAGGUACUCUGGGGAUAACAGGCUGAUACCGCCCAAGAGUUCAUAUCGACGGCGGUGUUUGGCACCUCGAUGUCGGCUCAUCUCAUCCUGGGGCUGUAGCCGGUCCCAAGGGUAUGGCUGUUCGCCAUUUAAAGAGGUACGUGAGCUGGGUUUAAAACGUCGUGAGACAGUUUGGUCCCUAUCUUCCGUGGGCGCUGCAGAUUUGAGGAAGCCUGCUCCUAGUACGAGAGGACCGGAGUGGACGCACCUCUGGUGUAUCGGUUGUCACGCCAGUGGCAUUGCCGAGUAGCUAUGUGCGGAAGAGAUAACCGCUGAAAGCAUCUAAGCGGGAAACUCGUUUCAAGAUGAGAUCUGCCGGGGCCUUGAGCCCCCUGAAGAGUCGUUCAAGACCAGGACGUUGAUAGGUCGGGUGUGGAAGCGCAGUAAUGCGUUAAGCUAACCGAUACUAAUUGCUCGUGCGGCUUGACCCC